rnacentral:rRNA from 1 species
GCCUCCCUCGCCGCCAUCAGACUCCUACGGGAGGCAGCAGUGGGAAUCUUGCACAAUGGGGGAAACCCUGAUGCAGCGACGCCGCGUGAGCGAUGAAGCCCCUCGGGGUGUAAACCCCUUUCGACCCGGAAGAAUGCCCGCAAGGGUUUGACGGUACGGGUAUAAGAAGCCCCGGCUAACUACGUGCCAGCAGCCGCGGUAAUAC